AGAGUUUGAUCCUGGCUCAGGACGAACGCUGGCGGCGUGCUUAACACAUACAAGUCGAACGGAGCUUUGAAUUAAGUUUACUUGAUGAAAAGCUUAGUGGCGGACGGGUGAGUAACGCGUGGAUAACCUGCCCAAGAGAUCGGGAUAACGCCGGGAAACUGGUGCUAAUACCGGAUACGUUCCUUAGGCUGCAUAGCUUGAGGAAGAAAGGAGUAAUCCGCUCAUGGAUGGAUCCGCGUCCCAUUAGCUAGUUGGUGGGGUAAUGGCCUACCAAGGCGACGAUGGGUAGCCGGCCUGAGAGGGUGGCCGGCCACACUGGGACUGAGACACGGCCCAGACUCCUACGGGAGGCAGCAGUGGGGAAUCUUCCGCAAUGGGCGAAAGCCUGACGGAGCAACGCCGCGUGAGUGACGAAGGCCUUUGGGUCGUAAAACUCUGUCUUCAGGGAAGAAAAAAAUGACGGUACCUGAGGAGGAAGCCCCGGCUAACUACGUGCCAGCAGCCGCGGUAAUACGUAGGGGGCGAGCGUUGUCCGGAAUUACUGGGCGUAAAGGGCGUGUAGGCGGCCCGUGAAGUCAGGAGUGAAAACUCGGGGCUCAACCCCGAGAUUGCUUUUGAAACCAGCGGGCUUGAGUGCAGGAGAGGAAAGUGGAAUUCCCAGUGUAGCGGUGAAAUGCGUAGAUAUUGGGAGGAACACCAGUGGCGAAAGCGGCUUUCUGGCCUGUAACUGACGCUGAGCGCGAAAGCGUGGGGAGCAAACAGAUAGAUACCCUGGUAGUCCACGCCGUAACGAUGGUGCUAGUGUUGGGGUAUCGACCCCCUCAGUGCUGUAGUUAACGCAA
rnacentral:rRNA from 1 species